AUACAGAGGAUGCGAGCGUUAAUCGGAAUUACUGGGCGUAAAGCGCGCGUAGGCGGCUUGGUCAGUCGGAUGUGAAAGCCCCGGGCUCAACCUGGGAAUGGCAUUCGAUACUGCCAGGCUAGAGUAUGGGAGAGGGAAGUGGAAUUUCCGGUGUAGCGGUGAAAUGCGUAGAUAUCGGAAGGAACACCAGUGGCGAAGGCGACUUCCUGGCCCAAUACUGACGCUGAGGUGCGAAAGCGUGGGGAGCGAACAGGAUUAGAUACCCUAGUAGUCC
rnacentral:rRNA from 1 species